UUAGGUCUUCUGCAUAUUUUUUUGAUUAGGUUGUUUCUUUUCUUGUUGUUGAGUUGUGAGCUGUUCGUGUAUUUUAGAAAUUAAGCCCUUGUCAGUCACAUUGUUUGCACAUAUUUAGGAGAAGUCAGUUCUAAUCAGGGUGUGACAUAGAAAUGCAAAUAACAAAAACAGCAGCAAUAAUAGUUUCCAUUCGUGCAGUUAUUUGCUAAUAUUUAUUCAUCAUUAUCAUGUCACUUUGAGAUAGGUUUAAACCACAUCAAAUUACUGUUUUUUAUGCCAAAAUAGUCUUUAAUAAGGCUAGUUCCAUGGCUCUGCCUGAACAAUACUCAACAUGAUCCUCUCAUCCCACUUCUGUCCAACCUCAUCUCCAGGUAGCCCCACAUCCUCCCAGCUUCACCUGACCACCCCCCACAACUGUUUCCCCAGGCUGUUUCCCAUGCCUCCAGUAUCCUCCUCUACCUCCCCUGCAAACUCUGUCCUUCCAGAGCCAGCUCAAGUUCUCCUCCUCAGAGAGAUUUUCUCUGACUUUCCUCCUGUCUAGUUACACGUGCACACAAACACACACUCAGGCACACACACACACUCAAGCCUCUAUUACACUGUCACAAACCUUAAUGGUGAGACCUCAAUUGCACAGUAAUUACUGGUUUAUGUAUCUGCCUUCCCCAUUAGAUUAUGAGCACGUGAAAGCGGAGACGGUGAGUUCAUUUUGUCAGCCCCAAUGCCUAGCCUAGCACUUGAUCGUUACCAAGGCCUUGUUGAAUGAAAGAACUAAAUCAUUAAAAAUCACAAGAUUAAUUAAGAGUGUAGUUUUAUGAUUGACCCACUGUGGCAUAACUCCUAGUGUAAUACAGUAUUUAACAUUGUGCCGUGCACGUUGCACGUGUUCCAUAAAUGUUUGUGAGCUGAAUGAAUGAAUGAUGGCAGGUGAAAAAUCUCUUAAUUAGAUCCAGAGGGUCCUCUUUAUUUGUACAAUCCAAAUAAGAAAGGCGUUCUCAGACACUGAAAAAAGCUAUGCCGACAUCUUUGUCUUACAAAGGACUCAUCUGAAUGAUAAUGAGUGUGGAAAAUGGAUUAGCUCUUGGGUGGACAGGGGUUUUUUUGUUUGUUUGUUUGUUAUUUGUUUUUGCUUUUUUGUCUGGUUGAAAAAGUAGAAAUGCUUGAGUGUUCCAUGAUUUUGAUUUUUGUGCUUAUUAAUUUAAUUUUUUAAAUUAAACUAUUUUUGGUACAUGAAUUAAAAUUGGUAAAAGUAAUGGUUUUCAGGGUAAUAUUAAUGCUAAUUUUUAUCAUUUUAUAUAUCUGCCAAUCAUGUAACUCUGGAGAAAUUGAUUACCAUCUGCUCUUGGAUUCUAGUGAUAAGACAUCAUUACUGCUAGGAGUAUUCUUCUAUGUGGCCAAAAUUAGUAAUCUAAUUGUUAGGGUGAUCAAUAAAUGUUGCUAACCCUCAUUAUAUGUAUUAUUACAUAAUAUGCUUCAAAUAAAGCACUGAAUAUUUUCGAAGUAAGCGAUAAAGUAGCCCUAAUUUAUUGGUCUCGGCUCAGAAGCCAAGUGUUUUAAAGUGCAUCAAGAAGGCUAUUUUUUCAAAUCUCAUGAAUUGGUGGUUCCAGAGCAUUAUUGGGAUAAGCAUUAAUGAGAUUAAGGGUACACUGUAAAACUAAAGCAAAGUGACAUCAGAAAAAAAUUAUUAUCAAGGAUAAAGAGGGAUUUUAAUUGGGGACAGUAUUGAGUCUGUUGGUCAAAUUGAUCAAAUCGGGACUCUAACAAAGUAGCUGACUCUACUCUUGAUGUUAGAUGAUUGACAGCUAUGAGGCCCCACUGCUCUCCCUUACUUCUCUGCCCCCCAUCUGGACAAGCUGAUCAGAAAGUCCAGGUGCUCUCUCCUGUGGCAACAGCAGGAAGUUAAGAGCAUGUAAACUCCAGCUUGGGAAAAGAACUCUCACACCAGCCCCACGCUCUAAACACCAUAAAACUCUAAGCCCAUUCUUUCAAACCAUUUUACACUCCUUUGGAAGGCUGGCUUGAUCUUCCAGAAAGCCCCAUUAUGUGCGCAAUAAUCUCUUAUACCCUUUUGGUGCCUGUCUGGCAUCAUCAGUCUUGACAUCCAAAUUUUGGAUGGAGCAAAAGAACCCUUGUGCAUCUGUAGGCUGACCACAGUAGGGGGAAAUUGACAUUUGAACAAUGUGGCAUCAUCUGAUCCAUGAGUACCAUGCAUCUCUCCGUUUAAGUCUUCUUUAAUGUUUCUCAUAAAUGCUUUCUAGUUUACAACAUGGACAUUUUGUCCCUAUUUCAUUAAAUGUUUCCUAAGUAGUUUAUAUUUUGGUGCUAUGCAUAGUCUUUACACUGUACAUAGUCUUAUUUUCUUGUUUAAAUUUCUAGUUCUUUACUAGUACAUAUAAUUGAAUUGACAUCAGCAGGAUGACAGAAUAAGAGCUCUCUGCUUUCAUCCUCCCACAGUACAUCGAUUUUUGCACUCACCCACGGAUAAGAGUACCCUUGUCCAGGAGUCCAGCAGAGAAACUCCACCAUGCCGUUGGAGCAGAAGAAUCCAAGAAUAGACACAUUGAAGAAGUCCAGCAAGCCAAACUCUACGAUGCAGAGAUUUGCAGCAGAGAAACAGUUUAUGCACAAAGUGGCCAAGUGAGGAGACAGAAGAACAGUUCUCAAAUCUGCCUCCCCCAAGCUCAUGAAGGUAAAUAUGCCAUCGGCACUGGUCCAGUCUAACUCUUCUUUAUUAAAAAGGAGAGAUCAGAGCUAUUCAUGGGGAGCUGAGACUUAAUCUGUUUUCCUCCCAAGAAGAACAAUUUUAAAUCACUUGUGUGACUUGUUUUGUGGAUCCAUGAUGCCCACAUCAAGAGACACCUUCAGAGAUGAGGGAGAGAGGAAGCACAUGAAGAAAUAUGUCUCUAAAUAAGAGAAAUAGUCAUCCUCUGCUUGGAGGCGGCUUGAGAGCGAGAAUCUUUUUUAAAGGUUUGCUUUUCUUCCCGACCUAAAAUGAUGGACUUUUUCUGUUCAAUGCAAGUGCUGAAUGAAAAGCAAGAUCAGUUUCAAAGUUCAUGGCAAGUCUUAGAAGUCAGUGUUAAAUAUUAGCCUAGCUUGAGGGACAUUUCAGUUACCUUCCUUCAGCCUCCAGUUUCUGUUUUUAAAGAUGCAGUUACGAAAGGCAGCUUAAAAUUUGGUUUCUCCAUCUGUUUCAUUUAUUUAUUUAUUUAUUUUUGAGAUUGAUAAAGGAAUUCCCAUGAUGGCUCAGUGGUAACAAA